AAAAACCAGGCGAUUUGAGAGAACGGCAGCAUCGGUGUGCAAGGAAUAUGCCAUUCUGACACUGGCAACACUGGUGAUGUCCGCAGGAAUCUAUCUUUUCAAAUUCCCAAACAACUUUUCCUUUGGCGGUGUUACCGGUCUGGCAGUGGUGCUGAGUGCUGUUUCACCGCUGUCUGCGGGAACGUACAAUUUUAUCAUCAAUAUGGCACUGCUGGUGCUGGGAUUUCUGUUUCUGGGGAAAGGCUUUGGCGUAAAGACGGUGUAUAUCAGCGUUCUGAUGUCUGUGGCACUGUCUGCGGCAGAAAAGCUAUUUCCCAUGUCCGGACCGCUGACUGACCAGCCGGUUCUGGAACUGAUUUUUGCCAUUGCCAUUCCGGGCAUCAGCUCCGCAAUCAUGUUUAACAUGGGUGCUUCCAGCGGCGGCACGGACAUUGUCGCCAUGAUCCUGAAAAAGUAUACCUCUAUGAAUAUCGGGACCGCUUUGCUGGCGGUGGACCUGCUGAUUGCCGUUUCAGCCUGCUUUGUGUUCGAUAUUACCACCGGUCUGUUUUCCCUGUGCGGCUUGUUUACGAAAACCAUUGUCAUUGAUACCGCCAUUGAAAAUAUCAACCUUUGCAAAUACUUCACCAUUGUCUGCAAAGACCCUACGCCGAUCUGUGACUUUAUCCACACAGAACUGGGGAGAAGCGCGACGUUGUUUACUGCGGAGGGAACAUACAGCGGACAGGAGGAAUAUAUUGUACUGACCGUCAUGAAACGAAGCCAGGCUGUGCAAUUGCGAAACUAUAUCAAAAAAGUACAGCCCCAGGCGUUCAUGAUGAUUACCAACAGCAGCGAAAUUAUCGGAAAAGGAUUCCGCAAUACCAUAUAAAACAAAACAACCCCGCACAAAAUUCGCCUUUCGGCUUUUUUGUGCGGGGUUAUUUUCAGUUAUGAAAGGAAAUAUUCUUUCGCAAUUAGUCGUUGAAGUAACGCUUCAGGAAGCCGGCAAAUGCACAGCCGUGUCUUGCCUCGUCCUUUGCCAUUUCGUGUACAGUGUCGUGGAUCGCGUCCAGAUUCAGCUGCUUUGCCUUUGCUGCCAGAGCCUUCUUGCCGGCACAUGCACCGUUUUCCGCAGCGACACGCAUUUCCAGAUUCUUCUUGGUGGAAUCGGUAACCACUUCGCCCAGCAGUUCUGCAAACUUUGCAGCGUGUUCUGCUUCUUCAUAAGCAGCCUUUUCCCAGUACAGACCGAUUUCCGGAUAGCCCUCACGGAAAGCGACGCGAGCCAUUGCCAGAUACAUGCCGACUUCGGAGCAUUCGCCGUUGAAAUUUUCCCGCAGACCCUGCACGAUUUCUUCGUCUACGCCCUGUGCCACGCCGACAACGUGCUGAUCAGCCCAUGCCAGAUUUUCUUCCUUCUGCUCCACGAACUUGUCUGCCGGUGCACCGCAGAGAGGACAUGCUGCCGGAGCAGAUUCGCCUUCGUAUACAUAACCGCAAACAGAACAUACAAACUUUUUCAUGAGUAACUACCUCCAUAAAAUAUCAUUUGCCAGGAGAUCUUUUUGUCCCCCUCAGCUUGUCUUUAUUAUAGCAUAAGAACAAUUCCUUGUCAAGAUGUAUUCUCAACUAGUUACAAAAAAUUAACAUAUAGAUUUUUAGAGAAACACGGAUUAAAGCUUGUGUAUAGGAUGCAUCGUCAGGCGGACUUUAUGCAGCAUUUCUUUAUGUCACUUGACACACUUGUUAUUUUGCAUUAUAAUAAGUAUCGCGAUUACGGAAGAAUAUGGGCAACUACGCACAGGCUCUCAGAAAGGGGAACGGUGAUGAAAAAGAGAAGAUUUGACUGGCUGCGAAAGACCAGUUCGGCAGAUGUGAUGAACCCGAAAAAUUAUGAAUAUCGGCUGAAACAGCUGGACGAUGACAAUCCGGCAGAACAGAAAGAAGCAUAUACGUGGUUUCAGAAGCACGCAGAAGAAGGCGAUGCAUCUGCACAGUAUCAGACCGCAAUGUGUUUUCUGCAUGGAGUUGGUGUGGAAAAAGAUGAGGAACAAUUCCUGCAUUGGCUCACAAAGUCUGCGGAACAGGAGCCCCAUGGAGCUUUACUGUAGCCUGAUAUUGGGUUUCGGUGUUGCAUGCACAGGAUAGAUGGGACGCUGGGAAAGAGUCGCUUUGGCGAUUCUGGAGCGGACGUUGGGAUACCAUCCUUGCGACAUUGGAAUUCUAACCUGCGCCUCUGAAUCGAGGCGGGGGACAUUGUCAGGUGGGCAGUUUGACUGGGGCGGUCGCCUCCUAAAAAGUAGCGGAGGCGUUCAAAGGUUCGUUCGAUCUGGACGGAAACCAGAUGAUUGAGUGCAAACGCAUAAACGAGCCUGACUGCGAGACUGACGGGUCGAGCAGAGACGAAAGUCGGAGUUAGUGAUCCGGUGGUAUGUGAGUGGAAAUGCCAUCGCUCAACGGAUAAAAGUUACCCUGGGGAUAACAGGCUGAUCUCCCCCAAGAGUCCACAUCGACGGGGAGGUUUGGCACCUCGAUGUCGGCUCAUCGCAUCCUGGGGCUGUAUUCGGUCCCAAGGGUUUGGCUGUUCGCCAAUUAAAGCGGUACGCGAGCUGGGUUCAGAACGUCGUGAGACAGUUCGGUCCCUAUCUGUCGUGGGCGCAGGAUAUUUGAGAGGCGCUGUCCCUAGUACGAGAGGACCGGGAUGGACGAACCUCUGGUGCACCAGUUGUCACGCCAGUGGCACAGCUGGGCAGCUAUGUUCGGAUCGGAUAAACGCUGAAAGCAUCUAAGCGUGAAGCCGGCCUUAAGAUAAGAUAUCCCACUGAGUCAAUCAGGUAAGACCCCUUGAAGACUACAAGGUUGAUAGGCACAGAGUGUAAGCGGAGUGAUCCGUUCAGCUAGUGUGUACUAAUAGGUCGAGGGCUUGACCC
rnacentral:rRNA from 1 species